rnacentral:rRNA from 1 species
CCUACGGGUGGCUGCAGUGAGGAAUAUUGGUCAAUGGGCGCGAGCCUGAACCAGCCAAGUAGCGUGAAGGAUGACUGCCCUACGGGUUGUAAACUUCUUUUAUAAAGGAAUAAAGUGAGGCUCGUGUGCCUUUUUGUAUGUACUUUAUGAAUAAGGAUCGGCUAACUCCGUGCCAGCAGCCGCGGUAAUACGGAGGAUCCGAGCGUUAUCCGGAUUUAUUGGGUUUAAAGGGAGCGUAGGUGGGUUGUUAAGUCAGGUGUGAAAGGUCGCGGCUCAACCGCAAAAUUGCAGUUGAUACUGGCAGUCUUGAGUACAGGUGAGGUAGGCGGAAUUCGUGGUGUAGCGGUGAAAUGCUUAGAUAUUACGAAGAACUCCGAUUGCGAAGGCAGCUUACUAAACUGCAACUGACAUUGAUGCUCGAAAGUGUGGGUAUCAAACAGGAUUAGAUACCCGGGUAGUC